CUGGUGGCUCAAUCGGAUAGAGCGUUGGACUUCUAAUCCAAAGGUUGCGGGUUCAAGUCCCGCCCAGAGUA
rnacentral:tRNA from 1 species